AGGUAUAAGAUAUAAUCCCAGGUAGCUGGGUUUAAGAAGUGCAAUAUUAAAACAAAAGCCAUGAGACUUGUAAGCCCAGUGUGUAAAGAUACACUCUGAGUUAUAACUCAGAGGCACAGUU
rnacentral:scRNA from 1 species